AUUGAACGCUGGCGGCAGGCCUAACACAUGCAAGUCGAACGAGUGGCGGACGGGUGAGUAAUGUCUGGGAAACUGCUCGAUGGAGGGGGAUAACUACUGGAAACGGUAGCUAAUACCGCAUACCAUCGGAUGAGCCCAGAGGGGAUUAGCUAGUAGGUGGGGUAACGGCUCACCUAGGCGACGAUCCCUAGCUGGUCUGAGAGGAUGACCAACCACACUGGAACUGAGACACGGUCCAUACUCCUACGGGAGGCAUCAGUGGGGAGUAUUGCACAAAGGGCGCAAGCCUGAUGCAGCCAUGCCGCGUGUAUGAAGAAGACCUUCGGGUUGUAAAGUACUUUCAGCGAGGAGGCGUUACUCGCAGAAGAAGCACCGGCUAACUCCGUGCCAGCAGCCGCGGUAAUUC
rnacentral:rRNA from 1 species